AUGCCGAGAUCCAGGGGGUCCGAGCUGCCGCAGCGGGCGUCGCCGCGCGCGCCGCUGCACCUCAAGACCACCGCCUCCUCCGAGGCCAAUGGCGCGCACCACCGCCUCCUCGUCGACCGCAGCAGCCCCAAGGUCGCCGACCGCCACUCGCCCCGCAGCCCGCUGCCCGAGAAGAAGCGCGCGGGCACUCGGGUGGCGGAGCUGGAGACCAAGCUGGGGAAGGUGCAGGACGAGCUCAAGAAGCUGCGGGAGCAGCUCGUCUCCGCGGAGGCCGCCAAGAAGGACGCGCAGGUCGCGCUCGAGGAGGCCAAGAAGCACGUCGGCGCCAAGGGGAGCCCCAAGCCGCCGGCGUCUCCUCCCUCCCCCGCCCCUCUACCGGUCCAAGACGAGAAGAAAACCGAGGAGGUGAAGAUCGUUGAAGAACCGGCGGCCGAGGAAGCGGAGGAGGAGGAGAGCAGCAUAAACUCCCCGGCGACCGAUGUGUUCGAGGUCGUCCCGACCGAGUCGGGCGACAAGGAGAACCAGAGCGCGCUCGUCGCCGAGGACAGCGAGGAGGUGAGCUGUGGAGACAAGGCGGCACUGGCCGAUGCCGAGGAGGAUGUGGAAGUGGAGGAGACCAAGACCAUGAUUGAGGAGGACAAGAAGGACUCCGCGGCCGCCAUUGAAGGCGGCGAAAAGGAGAACCCGGAGGUCGUGGAGCUCAAGGCCCAGCUGAUUGCCAAGGAGAUGGAAGUCGCCGUGCUCACGGCCGACAAUGCGGAGCUCAAGAAGCAGGCCGACGAGGCCGCGGCGGCGGUCAAGAGGGCUGACGAGGAGGCUGUGGCCAAGGCUUUCCUCAUCGAGCAGGAGCUCAAGGAGAACGCGGCGCGGGAGGCCCGGAUGGGCGAGCAGCUGAGGGCGUCCGAGGCCGCGCGCGAGGCGCUGGACGCCGAGAUGCGGCGCCUGCGCGUGCAGACCGAGCAGUGGCGCAAGGCGGCCGAGGCGGCCGCCGCGGUGAUCGGCGGGGACGCGCACCUCGUCGGUCACCAUGGCCUCGCCGGCAAUGGAAGCAACGGGUGGGGGUCCCCGGCGACGAUGCCGGACGACGGCGACGACGAGGGGUUCGGCAGCAAGCGGAAGGGCGCCGGCAUCCGGAUGCUCGGCGACCUGUGGAAGAAGAAGGGCAACAAGUGA
rnacentral:rRNA from 1 species